AUUGAACGCUGGCGGAAUGCUUUACACAUGCAAGUCGAACGGCAGCACGGACUUCGGUCUGGUGGCGAGUGGCGAACGGGUGAGUAAUGUAUCGGAACGUGCCCAGUCGUGGGGGAUAACGUAGUGAAAAUUACGCUAAUACCGCAUACGAUUUAUGGAUGAAAGCGGGGGAUCGCAAGACCUCGCGCGAUUGGAGCGGACGAUAUCAGAUUAGGUAGUUGGUUGGGUAAAGGCCCACCAAGCCAACGAUCUGUAGCUGGUCUGAGAGGACGACCAGCCACACUGGAACUGAGACACGGUACAGACUCCUACGGGAGGCAGCAGUGGGGAAUUUUGGACAACGGGCGAAAGCCUGAUCCAGCCAUUCCGCGUGCAGGAUGAAGGCCCUCGGGUUGUAAACUGCUUUUGUACAGAACGAAAAGGUUUCUACUAAUACUAGGAGCUCAUGACGGUACUGUAAGAAUAAGCACCGGCUAACUACGUGCCAGCCGCCGCAGUAA
rnacentral:rRNA from 1 species